AGGAGCAAAUUUCUGGAUGCACUCAUUUCUCUCUUGUCCUAAUGGUACUGCCUUUUAUCCUGGCCACACCAUUUUUAAUUACUCCUCGAUGCUGAAAACAAGAUCUCAUUGCACAGGCUCCCAGCACUCACUGUUCUGGUUACACUUGCAGGUGACUUUGUGGACACAGCUGUGGGGGGCUCAGGACCCCCUCAGCAUCAGCACACUGUGGCUUCUGAUGGUGUUAAUGUCACAACAUUGGGAAUGAAUUGAAGCUCCCGAAGUGAAAAAGUUCUGAUUUCUUAAAACUGAACACAAAUCAGCACGAUGUUUUACUUGGGAUAUUAAGUAAAUAAAUAAUUACUUGUAACUGAAAUCCGUGUUAGU
rnacentral:lncRNA from 1 species